CUAGAAGUAGUAGGAGUUCCUGUCGAAGGGCAAAUGAUUCAUUUAGGAAAGAUCAGAUGCGGAUAAAAGUCUGUUUGAAAGGAGGGAAACUCGAAAUUUCAUAGAAGAAGAAUCAGGUCAACAUAAACACUUUUUCGGUUAAAAUAGUCUAAUGAGAAAGCAUCUGUUUACGUUUGUAGUUGCAAUAAGUUUUUUUUCAUAGAGAUUUGGUUGGUCUUCAGUUGACCUUAGUUUAGUAGAAAAUUGAACAAAUUUCCAUGUGUUUCUUGAAAAAAGCGUGACUUAGCUCAAGCAAUGCCCUUUUUCUAAGAAGGAUUGUAAUAAUUCUGCUUUUACACUAUUUAGAAUCGCUUUCUCAUAUUGAGAAAUUCUGUCUAGCGGCAUUCGAUCUCAGAAUCCAUUGACAGCUGCAUAAAUGACUAGAAUUUGUUUUUCAAUUGGAAGUAGUGCAAAUUGUGGUUGUUUUAGUACUUCUGUCAGCCUCGCACCUCUAUUGAGUGUUGGAAUUUUGUUUGUUAAAACAAAAUGAGUGCCUUUUACUUUGUCCCACAUAGAAAAGGUGGGAGCAGAAGGGUUAGUUUAUUAAUAAGGAAUUUCCCUUUUGUAGUUAAAGGAGUGAUUAGGUGGGGCUAGACCCACCAUACCCGCGUGCGGGUGCGCGGAUAAUUGCGCGAUAAUUAUUAUUAUUUUAUUUAAUCCCUUGCUUUUUAUUUAUUUAUUUUUUAUUUUAUUUUAUAUUUUAGUUCAAAUGUUGCCUUUUAAUUUGAGAAUUUCGGAAAUGAAAUAUAAAUGAAAAUUCGAAAUUCUAUUUAAAUAAAAUAAUAAUAAUUAUUCCGAAUUUUAUUUGUGUCUUUUCAAGACAACCUUUGGAAAAUUACUUAUUCGGUUUUAAUUUUUCCGAAGGAUUGCAAUUGUUCGUUUUUUCGACUUCUUCUGAAGAGUCGCAUUUGUUUAUCCGAACAAUUUUCUAAAGACGUGUUUGUUCGCAAUUUUCACGAAGAGUUGCAAGACUGUUUCAUAUAAAUACUUGUCAUUUUCGGAAAGAAAAGUGUGGUCAUUUUCGAGUCUUCUUUCUGAAAAAACUGCAGCCAAUUUUCGAUUGUUUCUUAGAGAGACCCUGGAGAAAUACUAGAAUUGCUAGUUAGUAUUCUCAUCCGAGACUUUGUUGUAUCCUGGAGGAUUUUUGCCGGUGACCAUUAGCAACGUUGUGGGGCAAAUAAAUCCUUAAAGAAAGUGAUAUCACGCCUCAAAGUCCGAGUUGUUUUUACUCGAUCCGAUUUCAUUGUUCAACCCAUUUCGAAGACAUAUUUUACCAACAAUUUUAAGGAUUUAUCUUGCUACAAUGGAGUCGGAGACAAUCAAAGUUAUGAAUCAAGAUAUGGUCAAACUAGACCGGUUCGAUGGGAACAAUUUUGCUCGCUGGAGGGACAAGAUGAUGUUCUUACUCACUGCUCUGAAGAUCUCCUACAUUCUGGAUCCUAACUUGGCGCCUAUAGAAGAUCCUAAGCCUACUUUCGAUGGAGGACAGCCAAGUGCGGAAGCCAUUGAGAGGGUUAAUAAGGAAAAGAAGAAACGUGCGGAGGAUGAAUUACUUUGUCGAGGACACAUUCUGAACACACUCUCCGAUCAUCUGUACGACUUAUUCACCGAAAUGAAGUCGGCCAGAGAAAUUUGGAAUGCACUGGAAUUCAAGUACAAAGCAGAGGAGCAAGGUACCAACAAAUAUCUAAUUGCAAAGUAUUUUGAUUUCAAGUUUAUUGAUACUAAGCCCUUGCUGGAACAAGUCCAUGAAUUGCAAGUGAUUGUGAAUAAGAUUCGUGCUCUCAAGAUUGAUAUUCCAGAAGCUUUUCAAGUUGGAGCAAUUAUUGCGAAAUUGCCUCAAAGUUGGAAAGACUAUGGAAAAAGGCUGAUUCACAAGUCGGAGGACUUUACUUUGGAGCAAAUACAGAAACAUCUUCGCAUUAAGGAAGAGUCACGUUUACGUGAUAAUUCUGUUUUAUACAAUUCCAAGGUGAAUUUUGUGGAUAAAAAACGGAAACUCGGCCAGAACUUCAAGGUAAAAAGCGGGGGGCAUAAAUUCAAGAGAACACAAAAGAAGCAAAAGGGUUGUUGUUUUGUAUGUGGCAAACAAGGACACUACGCCAAGGAUUGCAUUCACCGUAAGAGCAUUUCAAAGGACAAGAACAUUCCGAUGGUGAAAGCAGAUGCAAAUCUGGUUGAAGAAAAUUAUGUAGCCAUGAUUUCGAACAUGUUUUCGAACAUGGAAAUUUCUGAAAUAAGUAAUGCGAUGGCUAUUGUCGCGACCUAAAUUUUCAGGGCAAUCCUAAAGUUUAGGUUAAUGGAUUACUAAGUCCGAAAACUUGGCACGGACCCUCCCAAGUCCUACCAAUUGCGACUUGAUAGAAAUUAACUCAUUUAAACAUGCAAUUUCAAUUCAAUUUGGAGCCGCCACUAAUCAAUUAGGGUUUGAUUAGAAACCCGAAUAAAGUAUGGGAGAAUACUUUAUUUUUACGAACCAGAGAUUCAAUAAAUCCGGGGACAUGAUUACGCUAGAUUAGUCUAACGCCCUUUCGGUACCUUUUAUUUUAAUUUAAAAAAAAUAUUUAGCAAGCAAUGUUAAUUGAUUUUAACUUAAGCUACUAACAUGCAAAUGGUGGUCAUGCGGGUGCACAAUCAAUAAAAUAACAUUCAAUAAAAAAAAUGCUAAUAAAAAUGCAUGCCCUAAACAUGAUUUCUAAAUGACAUGACACCUAAUUUUUCUUUUUUUCUUUUAAAAAUAUUAAUUAUAUGCAAUCUUAAUUUAAACUUAGUAUGCAUGAAUUUAUUUUAAUGACAUGCGAGAUGCAAUUCAUAUGGUAUGACUUAAACUUAUCACUAUAUGUAUGCAAUCUAAUUUUUAUAAUCCUAAAUAUGCAUGUGCUACAUGAUAUGAGAUGAAUGACAUGGUAUUUUUACAUGCAUGCUCUUUUAUGAUUUUAUUUUAAUGAUGAUUCAUUUUUAAUGCAUAUAUGCAACCUAUGCUAAAUAAUGAUGAUAUGAAAUUAAUUAUGAAUUAACCUAUUAACUAACCAAGGAAAUGAUCUUUUUUUUUUAUGACAUAAUGUUUUUUAUUGAAAAGAAAGUAACUUAUUGGUGCAAUGAUCAUUUUUAGCAUUUUCUUUUUUAUAAAAAAAUUAAACUAUAACUCACAUGGCAUGCAUAACAUUUUUUGUUCCUCUUUUUGUUUUACUAAAUGAAAAUUGACUUAAUCUAAAACUAUCUAGGUGUGUUACUUUAAUAUGAAAUGCAUAUGGGCCUAAGUGCCUAAAUCCUAGAUAUGACAAUAUUUUAUUAAUAAACAAAUUCUAACUAAACCUAUUAUGCAAAUUAACUAGCAUGUACCUAAUAUUUUUUGGAUUCUUUUUAUUGAAAUUCGGACUUAAAACUAAUUAGACUAACUAAAGUGAAUGAUAUUUUAAUCAAUUUAACUUAAACUAUAUCUUAUCUUAAAAGCUAUAUAAAGAAAUCAAUACAUGCCAACAUUAUUUAAAAUUAGCCCUAACAAAAAUCACCCAUCUAAAAGUAUAAUCUAAAAAUUAUAAUCCUAUAAACGCAAUUCUAAUUUACUAACCCUAAAAAUAUAGUCCUAAUUUACUAAAUCUAAAUGCCCUAAUGCAAUAUUUAGAUUUUUAUGUACUUUCUGAUUUUUUUAUUUUUUUAGUCUUUCCAAACAAGUAAUUAUUUUAAAAGAAUGAAGAUAAGAAUUAAGAUAACCGAAAAAAUAAUCCGUUGUCUCACGGAUUAAAUUAACAAUUAUUUUAACUCUAUAAUGAUUUAACAAUUGAAAUGGUAUUAAAGUUCCUAAAAUUUAAAGUAAUUAAAAAAAUGACCCGACGUCUUACGGGUCAAAUUGAUAAUUACCUUAAUUUAGGAUAAAACUCCUAAUGUCUACAAGGUCUACAAAUAUUGACAUACAAUAUUACAAUUCAAAUAAUUAAACUUUAAAAAAUAAGCUAACAUAACAUGAAAUAAGUAAAAAAGAAUAUACUACCUAAUUUCUUUUUUUUUUCUUUUGUUUUUUCCUUUCUCUUUUCCAGCUUUCUUCACCCACUGCUGAGCGGCCUCAGUAGAUCACCGGGGGUUGGGUCGUCGGCUUUCAAAGCUCCGGCAAAGGGAAGCAGCAGACCGGCAGCAGGAGCAAACAUCAGGUCGUCGCGGGACGGUCGUGGGCAUCGUCGGAGAGAUCAGCAAAAAUGCAGUGGCUCCGCGGGUCGGUGCGGCGGUGUCGCGCGGUGCAGAGAGCGACGAAGCAGUGGUGGUCGCGCACGGCGUCGGGGACGGCGGGCUUUGGCCACCGAGCGAGCUGGAGGCGAGGUGCUGCGGAGGUCCGAGCGGCGUGAGGUGGAGUCACGGGUGACCGGUGCGGCUGCGGAUGGAGUGGGUUCGUCAGGGGGCGGCUCGGGCGGCAGUCGUCAGGCUUCAAACGGCGUCGUCGGAUUUGAGUGCAGGCGGAAAGGCGGCAGCGAGCAACGGGGGGUGAGGCAGCAAGGCGAAAUCACGGACGACGCCGCGCAGCGACCGGUGCACCAGAAACUCGAAUGGCUGAGAAGUGGAGUGACUGCGGAGCCGAAAAGGAAGAAGAUGAACAGGAUUUCUCCUUUUUUUCGCCCGCACGUCUCUGUCUUCUCUGUUUCUUUUGCAGAAGCAAAAGCUUUUUUGGGCUAUUUGACUUUUCUUCUUCACUCUUCUGCUUUUUUUGCUUUUUCCUCUUCUUUUUACUUUUUCUCUCACCUGACACUCUCUCUCACCUCUCUCUUUUCCUACGAACUCUCUGCCCCUUCUCACCUUUCUCUCUGCUUCACGUCACCUCUCUCUCUCUAUUUGCCUCUUUUUAAUAUUUUUUUUUUCGACCAAAGACCAAGAGAAACCCCCUAAACGACAGAAUUUUUGCUCUGAAUUUUUUAGAAUUUCUCCCCCCAUUCACCGAAGCUUUGUAUCCUCUAUUUAUAGAGGAAACACUCGAAUUUUGUUUUUUUUGCAGGUGAAGAUUUUCCGAUAUUCACUCAUCUUCUCAACAAAAAAUGGCUCCAAAAAUCAAACGGUUGUUGAGUUUUUGAAUUCAAAAUUAUUUUUCAAAAUUUCCCUCUAAUCAAAUAUUAUCUUUUAUUUUCUAAAAAUUGAAUUUAAAUUAGGUGUCAACAGCUAUGGUUUCUGAAAUUAAUUCUACCACUGUCCAAUCCGGUUGGUGGAUAGAUUCUGGAGCAACUGUUCAUGUGUGCAAGGACAAAUACAUGUUCAAGCAAUUUGAAGAGAUUGUUGACUCAAAUGUUCAAGAGGUCCUGAUGGCGAAUAAUGCUCUUGCAAAGGUUGCUGGAAAAGGCACGGUGGAGAUAGACUUCACUUCUGGAAAGAAGAUAACUCUUCUUAAUGUGUUAUUUAUACCCGAAAUUAGGAAGAACCUAGUUUCUAUUGAUUUACUUUGUAAGAGGGGGUUUCGGGUUUUGUUUGAAUCCGACAAGGUUAUCCUGUCGAAAAAUGGGCUGUUUGUUGGGAAGGGUUAUGCCAAUGAUGGCAUGUAUCAACUGAGUAUCAAUAAUAAUAUUUCUAGUUCUGCUUAUAUUGUCGAGUCUUCAAUUUUAUGGCAUAGUAGGUUGGCACAUAUAAAUUUUCAUUAUUUGAAGAAUAUGAAAAAAUUAGACUUGAUAAAUUUUAAUGGCGAAUCUGAUAAAUGUGAAAUAUGUGCUAAGUCAAAACUUACUAAGAAGCCAUUUCCUAGUGUUAAAAGAAAUUCGAAUUUAUUGGAUUUGGUUCAUAGUGAUAUAUGUGAAUUUAAUGGUAUGCUAACACGUGGAGGUAAAAGGUAUUUUAUUACCUUUGUGGAUGAUUGUAGUAGGUUCUUAUAUGUUUAUCUCAUGAGAUCGAAGGAUGAAGCAUUUACCAUGUUUAAGAAAUAUAAAGCUGAAGUAGAGAAUCAAUUAGAAAAGAAAAUCAAAGUUCUACGAUCAGAUAGAGGUGGAGAAUAUUUCUUAAAUGAAUUCUCUUCAUUUUGUGAAGAACAUGGUAUUAUUCAUCAAGCUUCAGCACCAUAUACUCCACAACAAAAUGGUUUAGCUAAAAGGAAAAAUCGAUCUCUUGGAGAAAUGGUUAAUUGUAUGCUUUUAAAUUCAAAGCUACCAAUUAAUCUUUGGGGAGAAGCAUUACUUACUGCAUGCUAUAUUCAUAAUAGAAUACCUUCCAAGAAAAAUGACAUAACCCCUUAUGAAAUAUGGAAAGGUAGAAAGCCAAAUUUGUCAUAUCUUAAAGUGUGGGGGUGUUUAGCGUACUACCGAGCUCCAGAUCCUAAGAGAACAAAGCUCGGUCCUAGAGCUAUCAAAAGUGUUUUUAUAGGGUAUGCUGAAAAUAGUAAAGCUUAUAGGCUUCUUGAUUUAGAGUCUAAUGUCAUAGUAGAAUCGAGAGACGUCGAAUUCUUUGAGAAUAAAUGUUUUACAAGUUCUGAAAUGAUUGAAAAUAAUUCAAGAUCUAUUGAAACUCAAAGUGAUUUUCAAGAGAAAGAAACGAAUUCUAAAGACAUGAUUAAAUUAAGGAGAAGUACUAGAGCUAGGAAAAUAAAAGACUUAGGUCCUGAUUUUAUUACUUAUGUUUUUCUUGUUGAAGGAGAUGGAUAUAAUAAUGUGGUAAAUAAAUACCAUUUAGUAUUAAAUUUAGAAGAUGAUCCUGGAAGCUUUGAUGAUGCUAUGUCUUCUAGAGAUGCUUCUUUUUGGAAAGAAGCUGUGAAUGAUGAAAUGGACUCAAUUAUGUCCAAUAAUACUUGGGUAUUAGUAGAUUUACCAAAAGGAUCAAAACCUAUUGGAUGCAAAUGGGUUUUUAGAAGAAAAUAUCAUUCUGAUGGUUCUAUUCAAGCUUGUAAAGCUAGGCUUGUAGUUAAGGGAUAUAGACAAAAAGAAGGAAUAGAUUAUUUUGAUACAUAUGCUCCUGUUGCACGUAUAACUUCCAUUCGAGUUCUUUUUGCUCUAGCUUCCAUUUAUGAUCUUUGUGUUCAUCAAAUGGAUGUUAAAACUGCUUUCUUAAAUGGAGACUUAAAUGAGGAGAUUUACAUGGAACAACCGGAGGGUUUUGUUCUUCCUGGAAAUGAAAGAAAAGUAUGUAAAUUGAUUAAGUCUCUUUAUGGACUUAAGCAAGCUCCUAAGCAGUGGCAUGAAAAGUUUAAUUCGGUCAUAUUGUCAAAUGGUUUCAUCAAUAAUAGUGCCGAUAGGUAUAUAUACUCUAAAUUCACUAAAGACUAUGGUGUCUUAGUGUGCUUGUAUGUUGAUGAUAUGCUUAUCUUUGGAACGAAUAUGACUGGAGUUAAUGAAACUAAGAAGUGUCUAACUUCCAUGUUUAAAAUGAAGGAUUUGGGUGAAGUAGAUACUAUCUUAGGUAUUAAAGUUAAGCAAAAUAGUGAGGGUUAUUCUUUAAGCCAAUGUAGUUAUGUUGAAAAAUUAUUAAAUAAAUUUCAACAUCUUGGUUUUAAAGAAAUAAGUACUCCAUUUGAUUCUAGUAUUAAAUUAAAUUAUAAUACUGGUAGAGCGGUGGCACAACUAGAAUAUGCAAGUGCUAUAGGGUCUUUAAUGUAUGCGAUGCAUUGUACUAGACCCGAUAUUACUUAUUCUGUAUGCAAGUUGAGUAGGUAUACAAGUAAUCCAAGUACAAAACAUUGGAGAGCUAUUACUAGAAUUUUUGGUUAUCUUAAGAGAACUAAAAAUUUAGGAUUGUUCUACAAUAAUUAUCCAGUUGUAUUAGAAGGAUACACCGAUGCUAGUUGGAUUACAAGUGUGGGAGAUGAGCGUUCCACUUCUGGAUGGAUCUUCACACUAGCUGGAGGUGCUGUAUCUUGGGCGAGCAAGAAACAGACAUGUAUAACUCACUCAACAAUGGAAUAUGAAUUCAUUGCUUUGGCGGCAGCUGGGAAAGAGGCUGAAUGGAUUAGAAAUUUGUUGUUGGAUAUCAAAUUAUGGCCUAGUCCUAUGCCUCCUAUUUCUAUCCACUGUGAUAGUCAGGCCACUUUGGCAAGAGCCUAUAGUAGCACCUAUAAUGGUAAGUCUAGACACAUUAGUCUAAGACAUGAAUAUGUGAGACAAUUGAUUAAAAAUGGUACCAUAACAAUUGUCUAUGUGAGGUCAAGUAAAAAUCUUGCCGAUCCUUUGACGAAGGCUUUACCAAGACAUAUGGUAAUAACGACCUCACAAGAAAUGGGGCUGAAACCCUUUAAUUGAAAUCACCAAUAAUGGUAACCCGACCUUUUUCUAGAACAUCACUAGUUACAAGGUUUAAUGGGUAAGAACAAGUUAUUGAAUGUGAUUGUUUGAUACUGACAUAGCCCUGAUAUGAGAAGUCAGUAUUGUCUGUUACGUUUUGUAGGCUGAAUUGAAUUCUUAAUGAAGUAUGAUACAAGUUUGUAGUGUGUUGAUAGUAACAGAAACACAUGGUAGAUACUUCACCUAUAUGAGCUUAGAAGUGGUGCCGCUUCUUACGAAAGUGAGGGUUGCUUUCUAGAGAGCUCAUGAAACAGGAUCAAGCACAAGGCCAUAAUAGUGCGGAGUAAUAUAGAAAUUCUCGCUGAAACAAGAGGUUAGUGUAUGUGUGGUAUGUCCGGUUCUAUUACAUAAAAGUACAAGUUUAAAGCCGAGCUACUUGUCACUUUGAUAGAGCUUUGAUAUACUUGCACUAAGUAAAGGUUUAACUCGAAAGAGACCUUUAUGUAUGUAUAUUAAUCUUACUGAAAAUUUGGCUGUAUGGUUUUUAAAAAAAUUUUAUUUUGAAAUUUUGUUUUACAAACAAAGUGGGGGAUUGUUGGAAUUUUGUUUGUUAAAACAAAAUGAGUGCCUUUUACUUUGUCCCACAUAGAAAAUGUGGGAGCAGAAGGGUUAGUUUAUUAAUGAGGAAUUUCUCUUUUGUAGUUAAAGGAGUGAUUAGGUGGGGCUAGACCCACCAUACCCGCGUGCGGGUGCGCGGAUAAUUGCGCGAUAAUUAUUAUUAUUUUAUUUAAUCCCUUGCUUUUUAUUUAUUUAUUUUUUAUUUUAUUUUAUAUUUUAGUUCAAAUGUUGCCUUUUAAUUUGAGAAUUUCGGAAAUGAAAUAUAAAUGAAAAUUCGAAAUUCUAUUUAAAUAAAAUAAUAAUAAUUAUUGCGAAUUUUAUUUGUGUCUUUUCAAGACAACCUUUGGAAAAUUACUUAUUCGGUUUUAAUUUUUCCGAAGGAUUGCAAUUGUUCGUUUUUUCGACUUCUUCCAAAGAGUCGCAUUUGUUUAUCCGAACAAUUUUCUAAAGACGUGUUUGUUCGCAAUUUUCACGAAGAGUUGCAAGACUGUUUCAUAUAAAUAUUUGUCAUUUUCGGAAAGAAAAGUGUGGUCAUUUUCGAGUCUUUUUUCUGAAAAAACUGCAGCCAAUUUUCGAUUGUUUCUUAGAGAGACCCUAGAGAAAUACUAGAAUUGCUAGUUAGUAUUCUCAUCCGAGACUUUGUUGUAUCCUGGAGGAUUUUUGCCGGUGACCAUUAGCAACGUUGUGGGGCAAAUAAAUCCUUAAAGAAAGUGAUAUCACGCCUCAAAGUCCGAGUUGUUUUUACUCGAUCCGAUUUCAUUGUUCAACCCAUUUCGAAGACAUAUUUUACCAACAUUGAGUAAUGCCUGAGUGGCAGCAUCAAGGUCUGACCCAAAUUGAGCAAAGGCGGCUACUUCGCGAUAUUGUGCCAAUUCCAGUUUUAAACUCCCACAUAUUUGUUUCAUAGCUUUCAACUGAGCGGUAGACCCAAUGCGACUGGCAGAUAAGCCGACGUUAAUAGUAGGCCCAAUUCCGUGAUAAAAGAGCUCUGUUUUCAAACAUAUUUGUCCAUCAGUAAUGGAGAUCACAUUGGUAGGAAUAUAGGCCGAUACGUCUCCAGCUUGUGUUUCAAUGACGGGGUAAGGCGGUCAAGCUACCUGCACUUGUCUGGUCUGAUCGUUUUGCAGCUCUUUCCAAAAGGCAUGAAUGCAAAUAAAAAACAUCGCCUGGGAAAGCUUCACGGCCUAGUGGUCGGCGUAACAAUAAUUACAUUUGUUGAUAUGCCACCGCCUGUUUACUAAGAUCAUCAUAGAUUAUUAAUGCGUGCAUUCCAUUAUCGCGGAAAUAUUCCCCCAUGGCAUACCUAGAAUAUGGGGCCAAAAUUGCAGAGGGGCAGGAUCCGAAGCGGUGGCUACUACAAGAAUGGAAUAUUCCAAAGCAUUUGCUUCGUCACAAUGCUCCUAGUCCUACUGGGAAUUUUUAUAGAUUUUGGAUAUUGUCUCCUCUCAAUAUUGUCUUCGUCACUCUCUUCUUUUGAGUUUUUUUUUUUUUUUGUGUAUUAAAGACUGAAUAUUGGAUUUCAAAAAUCCCACAAGAGCUGCUAUGCUUUGACAUAAAGAAGGAUCGUGAACUAAUCAGGUGUGAUCAGUCUCAUGUGUGUAAUAAUUAGGAAUUCCUCUUCCAACCCGUCCCAGAAUGGGCAUUAUGGCAAAGAACAAGAAGAAAAUAUAAGGAGAAAUUUGUCCAAUAGUAACAAAUGGUGCCUCCACAGGUUGACAUCCGAUCCAACCUAGUAGUAAGCAAUCCGCCAAAAGCAACCAAAAUAUUCCUUGAUGAAUGGGGCGAAAACUUGAACUACGCACAUAAUACUUUUAAAAAAAGGUAAAGCCAACAGACAUAUAAAAACUGGUGCUAUUGCGGCUACACCUCCCGAUUUGUCAGGUAUACUACGAAGAAUGGUAUAGAUCGGUAGGAAAUACCAUUCCGGCACAAUAUGAGGUGGGGUGGACAUCGGAUUAGCAGGUAUAUAAUUAUCGGGAUGCCCCAAAACAUUAGGAGCAUAAAAAAUCCAAAUGGAAAAAAAGAUAGCAAAAGCUACCCAACCUACUAGAUCCUGUACAUAAAAAUGAGGGUAAAAAGAAAUUUUAUCUAUCUCUGAAUGUACACCCAAUGGAUUAUUUGAUCCAUAUUGAU
rnacentral:lncRNA from 1 species